AAAAUCUUAAUCUACUUAUACAAGAUGCAAUUAGUUACAACUCAGUUACAAAAUUUCAAGCCAAAAUAUAAGAUUACUAAUACAACAAGUAAACACAACUACAAUCCAUGGUAAUUAAAUUACAACGAUAUUUAAAAUGGAAACCUAUUCUACUUUAGUUAUCCUAAAGCACAAAUUUUCAAGUAACAUGCCACCUGAGUUUGCUUUGUAUGCAUAAAUACCUGAUACGACACUUCUUGGCGUGGUCCUAACAUCAUUCCUCCUGGCGCAAACCUACAUCAGCUUGCUUGAAACAUAACGCACCUAGAUAAGUUCAUAAGAACUUAGUGAGGAAAACAUCAUUUACCUCUUUGACAAAUAUUUCCUCAAAAUCUAUUCGUUUAUAUCCGUCCGUUGCUAUACCUUACCUUGAACUAUUUCUUUCUCUUCACUGUCUGCGAUACAUCGUGUUCAUCCUUCAAACUCUGAGUCAUCACCUCAUCACAAUUCAAGAAAAAGCACAUGAACAAAUGACAGAGUCUUAC
rnacentral:lncRNA from 1 species